UACGUAGGUGGCAAGCGUUGUCCGGAUUUACUGGGCGUAAAGAGCGCGCAGGCGGUCGUUCAAGUCGCGUGUGAAAGCCCCCGGCUCAACUGGGGAGGGUCACGCGAUACUGAUCGACUCGAAGGCAGGAGAGGGAAGUGGAAUUCCCGGUGUAGUGGUGAAAUGCGUAGAUAUCGGGAGGAACACCGGUGGCGAAGGCGGAUCUCUGGGCCUUACCUGACGCUGAGGCGCGAAAGCUAGGGGAGCGAACAGG
rnacentral:rRNA from 1 species